rnacentral:rRNA from 1 species
AUUGAACGCUGGCGGCAUGCCUAACACAUGCAAGUCGAACGGAGAUAGGGGCAACCUUAUUUCAGUGGCGGACGGGUGAGGAAUGCGUCGGAAUCUGCCCUAUGGUGGGGGAUAACACAGGGAAACUUGUGCUAAUACCGCAUAAUGUCGAGAGACCAAAGCAGGGGACCGCAAGGCCUUGCGCGAUAGGAUGAGCCCGCGUCCCAUCAGCUAGUUGGUAGGGUAAUGGCCUACCAAGGCUACGACGGGUAGCUGGUCUAAGAGGAUGGCCAGCCACACUGGAACUGAGACACGGUCCAGACUCCUACGGGAGGCAGCAGUGGGGAAUCUUGCGCAAUGGGCGAAAGCCUGACGCAGCGACGCCGCGUGGGUGACGAAGGCCUCGGUUGUAAGCCGUGUGGGUAGGAACGGAACUAGGCGAUCGGGC